GCCCUGUUAGCUCAGUUGGCUAGAGCGUGCGUUUCCCAGUUCUUCUUUAUUAAUGAGCUUUAAUUAACAUAUAAAAUAGGUGUGGCUUUUAACCUCAAGGUCGGCGGUUCGAGCCCGCCACAGGGCG